UUAUUGAUACACUAUUUUACAAAAUAGUGAGGACUAAUAAAAUAACUGCCUUGGACCAUCACUCCAUACCCCGGCUAGUUACUGCUAAAUUCUCACCUCCUGAGAAGAAAAAUGGAACAAAAAGGAAAAGGGUGAGCUCAACUAGCCCAGUAAAAAAUAUUAUGACUAAGAUAAUAUACAACAAAUUAUCCUUAGUCUUCAACAGGAAAAAAUCUAAUAG
rnacentral:lncRNA from 1 species